ensembl:lncRNA
GUCGGCCUGAGCUUCCAGGAGGGGCAGGAAGCAAGAAGCCUCCUGUGUACUGAGGCCUAGGUCCUUGUACGAGUCUCCUCAUCUGGGAGGGAGGUACCAGUAUCCCCAUUUGGCAGAGGGGAAGACCAAGGCUCCAGAAUCCUCAGCGAUUAGAGUGCUCUCACACAGCCUGUAAAAAGGCAAAGCAAGCACUGACCCUGCAUCUUCUGGCUUCCUGGGGUGCGGGUGGGGAGUAUAUUUUCCCCGCUAUCUCACUAUCACCCUGGGCUCCUCAAAAGGUUUCUGAUCCAGUUGGGGAUAUAAGAGCCCAAUGCAGCAGAAACAAGCAGUUAUGGCCCCUGAUUAUUGUUAUUAGCUCUGUUUGCUCUGAUUAGCUCUGAUUCAGGGACCUCCUUCCCCCAGGCUCCCCUGGCCCCACAGGGAAGGGACAAGGAAGCUGCAGGUUAAAUCAGAAGGAAAUGAGGGCAGGGGAGAUGGUAUUUUGCUUCGCUCUCUCUCUUUCUCUCUUUUGUAGAUGGAUGGCUGGAAAGGCACAGGGCAGGGAGGCUGGAGAUGUGAGUUCUAGUCCCAGGAUCUUGACUGGACCCUCUCCUCAUUGCACAGCUUCUGAAACAGGAUACACCCCCAAGCAUCCUCUUCUUGGGAAAGACUGGAGUCUGCUCUUCGAGGAACUCACUUUAACCCGACCUGUUCCGGGUUUGCCCGCCUCCCCAGGUGCUCUGCUGACUGGAGACUUUUCCAGCAGGGCCGGCUUCCAGGCGGGUGACCAUCAGAUUCAAAUCACUUCUGCUCCCCAGCUCAGCACUGAGGCCCAGGUGCCUGCUGGAUUCAGAACGUGGCCGCUCCUUCCUUCAAGAAAUCUCUACUUAGCACAGCCAGGGCCCGUACAGUUGUCAUUAGGAGGUAUAAAACCCUAAUUUAUAUUGCUGGGAGGGUAAUUUAUACACUAAUGUAAAUUUCUUUUACUGCUGAUUUUUGAGCAACUGAUGUGCAAUUAUUUCCAGCUCCCCUUCCAGUGCAGUUCUAAAACGACGGCUGCUAAUACCUUAAUAUUCUUUAUGAUUGCCAGAGAUGAUAUUUUUCCCGGAUCAAAUGUAUCCAGUGGGGUUUGACAUAAUUGGGUUAAAGAUUUCUUUUUCUGAAGCUUGAAGACUUGUUAGGCUUAUCUGAGCUGGGGGAGAUGGUGGCAGAGGCUUUUGUUUGUGUUCUGCUAGUCUCCCCGCCUGGUCCUUUGUCCUUUACGAAACCACAGGUCUCUCCCGCAUGCCCACUGUGUGCUCAGCUCAGAAGGGAGUGUGCUAUAGAGGAGACGUGUGAGAAGAAAAGAAGUUAUCUGCUAGCAGCCCACUGCAGGAUAAACUCGCUGUGGGGAGAAGGGUUUUGGUUAGGAACACACAAGGGCAUGCCUGGCUGACCUCUGUGUUAUGAGUCGCUGUGCGUGAAACUUGAAUGGUGGCGUUGCAGGCAUCGCUGUCAGCUGGCGAACUUGACAGUAUGUUUGGAGGGGCCUGGCUGUGUCCAGAGGUGGGUUUUGUCUCUAGAUCAAGAGACAACAGUGUUUUCACCAUGUAUCUCUCUCCUUGGCCCUGCCAUGAGCAGCUGACCAUUGGCCAGAUUGAGACCAGAGACCACAGGCUUUUUAAAAAAUAUAUAUUUAUUUAAUUUAUUUGACUGUGCUGGGUCUUUGUUGCGGCACACAAGAUUUUCAGUCUUCAUGGCGGCAUGUGGGGUCUUUAGUUGUGGCAUGUAGAAUCUAGUUCCCUGGCCAGGGAUCAAACCCGGGCCCCCUGAAUUGGGAGCAUGGAGUAUUAGCCACUGGAGCACCAGGAAAGACCUCCCUGACCACAGGCCUUUUAAUGUCUGUCCCGAAGCUGUGCUCUGGCCUCUGUACUAUGUUGUCCCCUUCCGGAUAAUUAACACCCAUCCUAAGACCAUGAUUGGCACCAAUCUUAACUACCACUGAGCAACCGUUGGGUUUUAUCCUCCAUUUUCCUUUCAUGCCUAGUUGGGGUCUGCCGGAAAAUCCUCUUGGCCUUUUAAAAACUGAGACUAUUUUGAGAAUGUACUUAAAUCUAUUGAAUUGUACACUUAGAAAUAGUUAAAAUGGUAAAUUUUACUUGAUGGGCGUGGCGCAACGCAUGUGCCCUCCGUCGUGCCCGACUCUUUGUGACCCUGUGGCAUUAGUCCCAGGCAGGAACAAUCCAAGCCAGGGGGAGGGGCAGCCAUUCCUGCUGAAACAGAGCAGCACCCUAGAGUCCUUGCCCCCAUGUCCUCAGCCUGCCUUUUGCCUGCGGAAAAAACUUUAGCCAAAGAGUGAGUUUAAUCAGAGAAAUGAGAAAUGCAGAAACAAAGGAAAACAGUCAAAGGAGACCAAAUGAUAAUACUGUGGGCAUUACGCAUAGUCAAGGACCUUGAUUUCCUUCUCAAGGGAUAUAGAUAAUACUCUGACCAUAUCCUGUGAGCUGUCUCAUAGAUACUGAAACCCCCACCAGCUGGGAGAAGUUAACUCCACGAUGAUCAGAUUGUGUAGACACAGGCUGCCACAAUUCUGAGAAUUGGCCUCAAAGAAAUGGAAACAAACUGACCCAGGAACUGAAGAGUAACGGUACCUAAAACAACCAAGGUGACGUUGGUCAGACCACUGAUGACCAACCUGAAGAUGACUAUCAGAGCUGACUACUGUUUCUGCAUGUGGCCCCCUCCCUCUGCCUAUAAAAACUCUUGCCCACUGCUUGUCCGGGGUUGGGGAGUUGAUCUUUGGACAGGGGUCUGUCCUGUCCGGUUGCUGGCAUCCAAAAUAAAGCCAAC